rnacentral:rRNA from 1 species
GAUGAACGCUAGCGGCAGGCCUAAUACAUGCAAGUCGAGGGGCAGCGCGGUAGCAAUACUGGCGGCGACCGGCGCACGGGUGCGUAACACGUAUGCAACCUACCUUCAACUGGAGGAUAGCCCGGGGAAACUCGGAUUAAUACUCCAUAAUACAGGGAUCCCGCAUGGGAAUAUUGUUAAAGCUACGGCGGUUGAAGAUGGGCAUGCGUUCGAUUAGCUAGUUGGUGUAGGUAACGGCUCACCAAGGCUACGAUCGAUAGGGGGUCUGAGAGGAUGAUCCCCCACACUGGUACUGAGAUACGGACCAGACUCCUACGGGAGCAGCAGUAGGGAAUAUUGGUCAAUGGGCGCAAGCCUGAACCAGCCAUGCCGCGUGCAGGAAGAAGGUCCCUCUGGGGUUGUAAAACUGCUUUUUGAUAGGGAACAAAUGCCACUUGCGAGUGGAGCUGAGUGUACCUAUAGAAUAAGCACCGGGCUAAACUCCGUAGCCAGCAGCCGACGG